ensembl:lncRNA
CUUUAGGCCCAAAUACGGAUCCGUGUGCCGUAGACUGGAGGCGGCGGUGGUUUGAAUCCCGGGUUUCCCUUGUUCAGUCGCUAAGUCGUAUCCGACUCUUUAGGGCCCCACGAACUGCAGCACGCCAGGCGGUUUCCCGUUUUCUUAGAUUUGUGGUCUAUUGCCUCUCGCUGCGCUAUCCGGCGCAGCUGUCCGGGGCCGGGGGCACUCCAGCCGCGGGUGGCCUGCCGUUGUAAAGGCGCGGCCGGAGCCUCCGGUAGCUGUGUGUUCUCAGAGAGGCUGGCCCCGAGAUAGCUUCCCGCUGAAGUGAAUCAGUCUCCAAGGCUCUGUUGGAAUAAGGCAUCUCUACCGAGGAUCACAGUUACCCAGCUGGCGUGUGGAGCAUCACGGAGCUCUCAUCAUCCUGUUGCCUCUUCCUCCUCUUCCAGGAAUGCCCUCCUAGGUUUGGACAGUCUUCCAAGAACAACAGAAAAUGAGCAAAUGCCAGAAGUGUGCUGGCCAAGGACCCAUGUCAUUCAAGGACAUGACUGUGGACUUCACCCGGGAUGAGUGCUGACAACUGACGGGUAUCAGAGGAUGCUAUACUGGGAUGUGAUGCUGGAGAGCUACAGCCACUUAGUCUCUGUGGGGUACUGCACUGCCAAACCAGAGGUGAUCAUCAAGCUGGAGCAAGGAGAAGAGCUGUGGCCAUUAGAAUUCCCAGGCUGGAGUGGUCCCGACAAAGGCCACUCAGUCAUGUCUGGCUCUUUGCAACCCCACUGACUAGUCUGCCAGGCUCCUCUGUCCAUGAGAUUCUCCAGGCAAGAAUUCCGGAGUGGAUUGCUAUAACCUUCUCCAGAGGAUCUUCCCAACCCAGGGAUUGAACCCUGAUCUCCUGCACUGCAGACAGAUUCUUUACCAUUUGAGCUACAGGAAAGUGCUAAAUCUCAUCCCACCAUUGCUGGGUGGACAGAAUGAUCUCUGUUCGCUUCCAAGGCAAACCAUUCAAUAUCACAUGAAUCCAAGUCUAUGCCCCAACCAAUAAUGCUGAAGAAGCUGAAUUUGAACAGUUCUAUGAAGACCUACAAGACCUUUUAGAACUCACACCCAAAAAAGAUGUCCUUUUCAUUAUAGGGGACUGGAAUGCAAAAGUAGGAAGUCAAGAGAUACCUGGAAUAACAGUCAAAUUUGUCUUUGGAAUACAGAAUGAAGCAGGGCAAAGGCUAACAGAGUUUUGUGAAGAGAACGCAUUGGUCAUAGCAAACACCCUCUUCCAAAAACACAAGAGAAGACUACACAUCACCAGAUCAGACUGAUUAUAUUCUUUGCAGCCAAAGAUGAAGCUCUAUACAGUCAGCAAAAACAAGACUGGGAGCUGACUGUGGCUCAGAUCAUGAACUCCUUAUUUCCAAAUUCAGACUUAAAUUGCAGAAAGUAGGGAAAACCACUAGACCAUUCAGGUAUGACCUAAAUCAAAUCCCUUAUGAUUAUACAAUGGAAGUGACAAACAGAUUCAAGGGAUUAGAUCUGAUAGAGUGCCUGAUGAACUAUGGAUGGAGGUUCGUGACAUUGUACAGGAGGCAGGGAUCAAGACCAUCCCCAAGAAAAAGAAAUGCAAAAAGGCAAAAUGGUUGUCUGAGGAGGCCUUACAAAUAGCUGAGAAAAGAAGAGAAGCAAAAGGCAAAGAAGAAAAAGAAAGAUAUGCCCUUGCUGCUGCCAAGUCACUUCAGUCGUGUCUGACUCUGUGCGACCCCAUGGACUGCAGCCUACCAGGCUUCUCCGUCCAUGGGAUUCUCCAGGCAAGAAUACUGGAGUGGGCUGCCAUUUCCUUCUGCAGUGCAUGAAAGUGGAAAGUGAAAGUGAAGUCACUCAGUCGUGUCUGACUCUUAGUGACCCCAUGGACUGCAGCCCACCAGGCUCCUCCAUCCAUGGGAUUUUCCGGGCAACAGUACUGGCGUGGGGUGCCAUUGCCUUCUCCCAUACCCUUGCUAUAUCUUGCUAUUCUUUGAAUGCAGAGCUCCAAAGAAUAGCAAGGAGAGGUAAGAAAGCCUUCCUCAGAGAUCAACGCAAAGAAAUAAGAGGAAAAAAUAGAAAAGACUAGAGGUCUCUUCAAGAAAAUUAGAGAUAUCAAGGGAACAUUUCAUGCAAAGAUGGGCACAAUAAAAGACAAAUGGUAUGGACCUAAAAGAAACAGAAGAUGUUAAGAGGUGGCAAGAAUAUACAGAAGAACUAUACAAAAAAGAUCUUCAUGACCCAGAUAACCACAGUGGUGUGAUCAUUCACCUAGAGUCAGACAUCCUGGAAUGCAAAGUGGGCCUUAGGAAGCAUCACUAUGAAAAAGCUAGUGGAGGGGAUGGAAUUCCAUUUGGGCUAUCUCAAAUCCUAAAAUAUGAUGCUGUGAAAGUGCUACACUCAGUAUGCCAGCAAAUUUGGAAAGCUCAAUAGUGGCCACAGGACUGGAA